rnacentral:rRNA from 1 species
GAGUUCAGACGUGUGCUCUUCCGAUCUUACAAGCUGUAGGAGCAUAUUAUUUGUGUGACUGCGUACUUUUUGUAGAACGGGCCAACGAGUUACGUUACCUAGCAAGGUUAAGCACUUAAGGUGUGGAGCCGUAGCGAAAGCGAGUCUUAAAUGGGCGUCCAGUUACCCGACGUAGACCCGAAACCAGGCGACCUAUCCAUGAGCAGGUUGAAGCGAAAGUAAAAUUUCGUGGAGGACCGAACCCACGAGCGUUGAAAAGCUCGGGGAUGACCUGUGGAUAGCGGUGAAAUUCCAAUCGAGCCCGGAGAUAGCUGGUUCUCUCCGAAAUAGCUUUAGGGCUAGCCUCAAGAUUUAGAGAAACGGGGGUAGAGCACUGAAUGUCCUAGGGGGUAUUGCACUUACCGAAGACUAUCAAACUCCGAAUGCCGUAUUCUUUUGCUUGGGAGUCAGACUAUGGGUGAUAAGAUUCAUAGUCAAGAGGGCAACAGCCCAGAUCGUCAGCUAAGGUCCCUAAAUGUAAGUUAAGUGGUAAAGGAUGUGGAAUUGCACAGACAACCAGGAUGUUGGCUUAGAAGCAGCCACUCAUUUAAAGAGUGCGUAAUAGCUCACUGGUCGAGUGAUCCUGCGCCGAAAAUUUCCGGGGCUAAAACUUACUACCGAAGCUACGGCAUCAUUUAUGAUGGGUAGGAGAGCUUUCUAUACGGAUUGAAGCAUUACCGUAAGGAGAUGUGGACUGUAUAGAAGUGAGAAUGUUGGCAUGAGUAGCGAGAUGUGGGUGAGAAUCCCACAGGCCGUAAACCCAAGGUUUCCAGGGGAAGGUUCGUCCGCCCUGGGUUAGUCAGGACCUAAGCCGAGGCCGAAAGGCGUAGGUGAUGGACAACAGGUUGAUAUUCCUGUACCACCAAUAACCGUUUGAGAAAUGGGAUGACACAGUAGGAUAAGCUAACCGCACUGUUGGUUAUGUGCGGGCAAGUAUUGAGGCAGUUCCGAUAGGCAAAUCCGUCGGAAUAAUGCUGGGGUACGAUGCGGAGCGAAAUUUAGUAGCGAAGUAGCUGAUUUCACACUGUCGAGAAAAGUCUCUAUCGAGGUUAAAGGUGCCUGUACCGCAAACCGACACAGGUGGGUGAGGAGAGUAUCCUAAGGCCAGCCAGAGAACUGUUGUUAAGGAACUCGGCAAAAUGACCCCGUAACUUCGGGAGAAGGGGUGCCUUCGAAAGAAGGCCGCAGAGAAUAGGCCCAAGCGACUGUUUACCAAAAACAUAGGUUUCUGCUAAGUCGCAAGACGAUGUAUAGGAGCUGACGCCUGCCCGGUGCUGGAAGGUUAAGGGGAUCUGUUAGGGUAACCGAAGCAGUGAACUUAAGCCCCAGUAAACGGCGGCCGUAACUAUAACGGUCCUAAGGUAGCGAAAUUCCUUGUCGGGUAAGUUCCGACCCGCACGAAAGGCGUAACGAUUUGGGCACUGUCUCAACAACAGACUCGGUGAAAUUGUAAUACCGGUGAAGAUGCCGGUUACCUGCGACAGGACGGAAAGACCCCAUGGAGCUUUACUGUAGCUUGACAUUGAGUCUCGGUGCUACAUGUACAGGAUAGGUGGGAGACUAUGAAGCAUGGACGUCAGUCUGUGUGGAGUCAUCCUUGGGAUACCACCCUUGUAGUACUGGGAUUCUAACCAGAGGCCAUGAAUCUGGUCUUGGGACACUGUCAGGUGGACAGUUUGACUGGGGCGGUCGCCUCCCAAAAUGUAACGGAG